CAAAGAGUCCACGGGUGGUGUACGGGGUCCAACAGCUGUUUGUGUCACAGGUGGAGGCGUUAAAACGAGCGGCUCGGCCCGGCUCGGCUCGGUGAAGGUCACUACACUCCUGGACCACCCCCACCCAUCCUCCACCCCCCUCGGUCAGUGUAAGGACCAUUACCUGAGUCCCAUUAAAGCUGUGGCUUUGUCCCAACACCACCUCCACCCGAACACCACCCUCAGCUGAACAGACCUUCAGAGUCAGAUCACAUGACCUUCAUCAUCCCCACGUGGCCCCUCAGGAGCCCUCGGACCACGUGUUGAGAGUGUGAUGUGAAAGAUGGCCGACAGCCUCUCGAUAGAGACAGACGGCGUCAUGAGAGCUGUCACAUAUUUCAGCGCGGCGCUCAUUAAAGACGCUCGCGCUCGGCGCCGUAAUUGUUUUAAUUUAUUUGUUUAUGAGAAGACGGAGGGGACGCGGCGCGCGGCGCUUUAUUGGAACAUAUGGAAGACAUUCAUCACCAUUUGCAGCGAGCGGCCUAAACGAUUUUAUUAACUCAUUUGUAACUUUACACUUUUUAAUCAAACACAUGCUGCGCUACGCAGCGCGCACACAACGCUGCCAUAACGCUACCACAACGCUCACACAACGCUGCCACAACGCUCACACAACGCUGCCACAACGCUCCGGGGCUUUGUAAAGAGAGCGAGCAGCCGGAGGGAAAUAAAGAGGAGAGGAAAGAGGAGGGAAGGAACGAAGGAGGAGAGGAGAGGAGAGGAGAGGAGGGAGGGUUAGUGUGCUCAGCCAGACCACCUGACAGCGAUGAUGAUGAUGAUUGGCCGAGCCGCAGGGCGUGGCCGCCGGGCUCUGAGGUCUUUAGUCCGCCUCGCAGAGCAGCUGUUUACCUGAAGGCGGCGAGGCGGCGAGGCGGCGAGUUUCUGCUGCGGUGAACACACCUUUGUUUCUAGUUGAUAAUCAGACACCCGGAGGGGAACGCCGCCUCGCUGCUAACCUGCAGAAACCCGGAUCAGAGCCAAGGGUCCGGAUCAGAGCCAAGGGUCCGGAUCAGAGUGACUCAGGUGCAGGUGUAAUAAAAGUUCAGCCUUCCUCCUCUGAAUGACUUCCUGCAGUGAAACUUUAAACACUCACGGGUUGGAGCAGGUUCUGGUUGGAGGUCCAAGGUGACGGAGCUGGCGGUCCCGGUACAUUCACAUGAUGUAAGUUUUGUUAAAUGUUGUAAAUGUAAAUGCCAACGUAACUUUGUAAUGUUGUUACGUAUUUAAACUAUUAAACUUUGUUUUGUACGUUUGAUGAAGCUAACGCUCCAUUAAGCUGUUUUUAUUAAUUACUGUGUGGGCUCGUUAACACCUUCAUGGACCACCACAAAUCACCUGGAGUGGUGAGUCUAAACCACCUCCACCAACACCUCCACCUGUUG